GGAAAAAGUGCAAGUAGCUUCUCUCUUACAUGAAGCAGGUGCCAUGACUCCUCUGGGCAUUCUUCCACAUCAGAUUGAUAAUAAGCUGUUCUACAAAGAUUUACUCCUUCACUACCCAGAUGAACAAGAUUUUGAGCCUCCUCCAAAACGGUUAAAAACUUAAUGAUCAUUUUUUAAUAGUGUCUUCUUUAUCAAAGCAAUAUAAGCAAUAGAACCUCCA